UACGUAGGGUGCAAGCGUUAAUCGGAAUUACUGGGCGUAAAGCGUGCGCAGGCGGUUUUGUAAGUCUGUCGUGAAAGCCCCGGGCUCAACCUGGGAAUUGCGAUGGAGACUGCAAGGCUUGAAUCUGGCAGAGGGGGGUAGAAUUCCACGUGUAGCAGUGAAAUGCGUAGAGAUGUGGAGGAACACCGAUGGCGAAGGCAGCCCCCUGGGUCAAGAUUGUCGCUCAUGCACGAAAGCGUGGGGAGCAAACAGG
rnacentral:rRNA from 1 species